rnacentral:rRNA from 1 species
AUUGAACGCUGGCGGCAGGCCUAACACAUGCAAGUCGAGCGGAUGAAGGGAGCUUGCUCCUGGAUUCAGCGGCGGACGGGUGAGUAAUGCCUAGGAAUCUGCCUGGUAGUGGGGGAUAACGUCCGGAAACGGGCGCUAAUACCGCAUACGUCCUGAGGGAGAAAGUGGGGGAUCUUCGGACCUCACGCUAUCAGAUGAGCCUAGGUCGGAUUAGCUAGUUGGUGGGGUAAAGGCCUACCAAGGCGACGAUCCGUAACUGGUCUGAGAGGAUGAUCAGUCACACUGGAACUGAGACACGGUCCAGACUCCUACGGGAGGCAGCAGUGGGGAAUAUUGGACAAUGGGCGAAAGCCUGAUCCAGCCAUGGCGGGUGUGUGAAGAAGGUCUUCGGAUUGUAAAGCACUUUAAGUUGGGAGGAAGGGCAGUAAGUUAAUACCUUGCUGUUUUGACGUUACCAACAGAAUAAGCACCGGCUAACUUCGUG